GAGUCUUGAGAUCUCCAUGGUAACUGGUCGCAGUGUUUUUCUUUGUGCGUGAUCAAUGUUUCCGAGGCCCCGGCAGUCUCUGGAGCCUUGUGCACACUUGUUUGUUUGUGCACCUGUGAUGAGAGUAGCAAGUUUGAGGAUGUGGUGUAGCACUCCAGCAGCCACACGGGGGAACGGAGCACACUAGGGAUUAUACCGGAAAAAGAACCAUGGAGUGAGGGGGCUCCAAUGGAAGCAUGCAGCUCAUGGAAACGGAGUUCUCUAAAACUCUGGGAGAGAUGGUGAACCUUCAUCUGCACCACCAAAAGAGCAUCCCGGCCUUCCUGUCCGCCGUGACCCUCGACCUGUUUAGCCGACAGACCGUCUUCUGAAGAGUUUGGCAUCAUAGAGAAAACAGUUUUUUUUUUUUUUUUUAUGGCUGUGAUUAUCAUUUGCCUUUUUUAAUAUCUACAUUUUUGUCACCUGUCUCCCGAAACUCUAUAUAAAACAUUUCAUGCUGAAGUUUUCUGCACUGCCAGCCACUAAAACUGGAGCUUCUUAUUAAAGCUUCUGAAAUAAAAUGUAUAUUUUUAUUGAAGUUGCAUAAUCCAGCCAGAGGCACAAUUAUUGGUACAACGCCUUUAAAACAAAUGUAAGAUUUUUUAUUUUAUUUUUGUCUUCACUUUAGUUUUUAAGUUUAAUUGUCCAGGAACUUCAAAUUACUAAUCCAUAGCAUCAUGCUUGCCUUGGGUUUAAAUAGGAUGUGGCACAUUUCUCUUGUCCAUGUUGGCCACUAGGCUUGAAGUCAAGGCAACUUCAGAUUUGUUUUUAUUCACAAUACGGUUUAUCUACCAACAGGAGGUUACAUGGAGUUGUUUUUGUUUAAUAGGAGGUCCUAAUCUGUCAUAGUUCAUUAGACUCGCAUACAAAAACUGGGAUUAGGUUUGGAAAUAGGGAGUAAUAUAACAUUUGGAAAAUAUGCAAUUAAAUAAAGUAUUCAUGUGCUUUGA